GGGAAGGUAAAAAAGUCGUAACAAGGUUUCCGUAGGUGAACCUGCGGAAGGAUCAUUACCAAGCUGAGGGGGUGACGAUCUCGGAGGCUGGUGUACACACAAGCCGCUGAGCGGGAGCCGUUGCAAGAUGAGACUCCUCGCCGCGGUGCCUCCCAAGACAAGCCCCCGAACCUUCCACCCUUGUCCACUUGUACCCUUUGUUGCCUCGGCGGGUACGCCCGCCGGAGGACCACACCAAAAACUCUUGUUGUAAACGGCGUCUUGUCUGAGCUAUAGCGAAGCAAUGGUUUAAAACUUUCAACAACGGAUCUCUUGGUUCUGGCAUCGAUGAAGAACGCAGCGAAAUGCGAUAAGUAGUGUGAAUUGCAGAAUUCAGUGAAUCAUCGAAUCUUUGAACGCACAUUGCGCCCCUUGGUAUCCCGAGGGGCAUGCCUGUUCGAGCGUCAUUAUCACCGAUCAAGCCUGGCUUGGUGUUGGGUGCCGUCCCGCCCUCUGCGGCGUGGACGCUCCCUAAAACUAUCGGCGGUGCAGCACCGGCUUCGAGCGUAGCAGACCUUCGCUUUCUGGGCCCGGUGCGGCAGCGGCCGCGACGCAGCAACCUAAAGGUGACCUCGGAUCAGG
rnacentral:rRNA from 1 species